rnacentral:lncRNA from 1 species
AAUUAACAAACCAUGAUGGCUUUGGAAACAUGUUCUUCCAUUUGUUACUUUCAUAAUGAAAGAAGAAAUGUAUUUUAAAUAACAUUUAAAUUUAAUUUUUUCAUUAUCAUCUGGGAAGCCCCAGCCCUUUAUGAAAGGAAAACAAUGUCCACUUUAGAGUUAAACUUGCUGAUGAGUGCUGAGCAUGGGAGGCAGGUGGGGGGCCAAGGUCUUUGAGUGCUGAGCAUGGGAGGCAGGUGGGGGGCCAAGGUCUUUGAGUGCUGAGCAUGGGAAGCAGCCCCUCCACUGACUGAAUGACCCUUCUCGGUCAAGGGGACCCAGAGAAACCUGAAAAGCUGAGUUCCAGGCCCUGACAGGAAGGGGGUCAGACAUGCCUCGUCAUACUCCCUCCCUUUGGGAGUUUAGACACAACUGACCAGCAGUAAUGUUAAAACGGAGAUCUUAAGACUGACAAAGCAGACUCUUGGUGGCAAUAGGAUACCGAAUUAUAACAGGACCCGAGGCCGCACAAGGCAGGGGUGGGUCCCACCUGCAGGCUGAGCAGGACCUGAGGCUGCACCUGUAGGCUACAGAUCCUGUAGCAGGAUCUUAACUUAAACGUUCCAAGUUUUAGACAGAGCCUUGCUCCUCUCACCAACAGGAACUCAAAGAAUCUCUGGAUCCAUCUAUAUCCUGUAAGCCCCCUUCAAGGUGUCCCACCUCCAAAGGCCGAGCCAGUGUGGACCUGCCAUGCAUGGCUGUAUGUCUUUGCCUAUAACUCCUGCCUCCCUGAGAUGUCAAAACCAAACUGCAAUCCGAUCUCCUCAGGCACACGUUCUCAGGACUCGCUGGGACCGUGUCUGUCUGGCUGUGUCACUCACUGGCUCAGAAGAAACCUCUUUAAAAUAUUUUACAGAGUUUGGUUUUUCCAUCAACAGAGAAAAGACUUGGAA